UCUCCAGAAAGCUCUCUCGAAGAUUUUUCACGAAACUUUCAUCGAUCUGUUUUCCUCUCUCUCUCUCUCUCCAGUCGCAGUGAACCCAGUCCAAAUCACUCUUGCUCUCCACUCGAAUCAACAAAUUUCUCUCGCUCUCCUCACACAGAAAUCCAAAACCAAACAGAUAGAGAUACGUUUCCUGCUCAAAAUCUCAGUUUAUUGUUUUAAGGUGUCGUUGAAGGGGCUUGAUCACGUUGGGUUUCGAAUAAUCGUGCUAGACCAAUCGGAUAAUUGUGUUUUCAGUUGGUGAUCUGCUACAAGUAAAUUAAUCGUACCUGGGUUUAGAAGAUAAACGUGUUAGAUCAAUCAGCCUCAGCUCUAUUUCAAAAGUGCAAAUUACUUAGCAGCAAGAGAGAAGCAAACAAUCAUUUAUCUGCUGUCUGCGAAAGCUAAGUAAAGCUUCAGAUUAUAUGCAAAAGCGUUUACUAUCUUGAUCUCUUAUUCUUAUUCAGAUUGUUGGAACAGUGUGCGGUUAGAUUUUUCAACUGCUUUGAAUUCAGUUAUGGCUCCAAAGAUGAGGUGGACAAGAAGUAAGAGAUUGUUACAGGAGUAUGAAGAUGAAAAUCAUAAUGCUGAAAGGGAAGUCCAAGAAAUAUCUAAUGACCAGAACGUAAUUGGUAGUAUAUCUGAAACUGGAACCGCAGUUUCUGGUAGGGACGAAGACCAUCAAAUUCAUCCAAGAUCAAGGCGUGCAUCUGAGUUGAGGAUGAGAAAAAGGGACUGACAUUUAGACACUCAGUACAGUGCUGGGAAUGAUGAUGCCAGUCGAUUUCAAUAUUGUCGCAAGAGAUUUAUAAGCAAUCAACAAAACACUGGUGUUGAUUAACAAAGGCUCUGGAGGAAUGUGAUGAUGGCUUCCCCUUUCUUAUUCUCUCCUCCAAUUCUCAGCACCAAAUGGACCGAAAGCUAAAGCAAACCAAAAACACGAAUUCAAAUUCCGAAUUGAAGACCCAGGGAGGUUCGGGCUGCAAGACCUAAAGCAGAAUCGAGAGGAGUUCAAACCUGAAGAGAGUUCAAUCGAGAGCGAAUUGUGACGAAGACGACGAAUCAGCAACCAUUUGAGAGAAAUUGAAGGUUGAAGGAUGAGAAUGAACAGAGCGGCUGCGUCUGGAAGAAGAAGAAGAGAAGAGAGCAUAGAGAUCUGGGUAGAAGAAGAAGAGAUUUCAAAUCGCAUUUUCAGAGUAGUAUAUCAAAAAAGAGAGGGAGGGAGAACUGAUUCGAGAAAUCUGGCACUAGCAUGGCCAUGCAGACAUACUGGAAGGAUAUGCAUUGAGCAUCAAGGGAUGAGCAUUAGAAAGGGAAUUACUCAGUGAGUUACUUUCAUUCUAUUCGAAUUGCUUGCAUUUGUUCUUUCCAUACAAGAAGGAAAUCCAGCAAGAGCAUAGCACUUAAGGUUACGAAGUAAAGAGGAUGAAUGCACGUCUGAAAAAGAAAGAAAAAAAAAUUGGGGAAGAAUAAGAAGUAUUUUUUAUUCAACGUGUUUCUUCAUUAUACCUCUAAGCUGAACAAACAUUUGAAUGAUUAAGGAAAUGAACUGGAAGCAUAAGAUUUUCUACUUCUUUGCUUGAAAUUAUGUUCUGCACAACCAUUUAAUAGGUUGAGGAAUUUCGAAAAUUUCAACAUUUUCUUUGUUGUCUGUUUAAUUAAGAAAUUUUUACUGAGCAUUGUAGUAGAUGGGAAUGGAUUGUUUAGCUUUGGUUUUCAUGGAGUGAGAAUGGUGCCAUGGGUAUGUUUUGCAGAGAGCUGCAAAAAUUGUAUUGGUUGGUGUUGAGCUUCAUUUUUGUUAAUAUUCUGAAUCCCAAUUACAUCAGAUGCUUUGUCUUAUAUACUUCAAUCAAAUACUGGAAUCACUAGGUCAUUCAUUUGUAUGAACCGCUUAAUAUAAGUUCACUUUCGAAACAAGAAAUUUGUAAUCUGAAAAUCUCCUAACAGUUGAAUAAUAAUCAGACAUUAGUAGAAACUAGGGAUCAUGACUUUGCUAACCUGUAAAAGUUCAUCUCUUUUCCUGCUUUGCUGCAUUCAUAAUUCGAGUCAUAUCAGUAUGAUCAAAACAAUUCCUACUGCAUCUUAUAUACUUAAAUCAAAUACUGGAAUCACUAGGUCAUUCAUUUGUAUGAACCGCUUAAUAAAAGUUCAUUUUCGAAACAAGAAAUUUGUAAUCUGAAUAUCCCCUAACAGUUGAAUAAUAAUCAGACAUUAGUAGAAACUAGGGAUCAUGACUUUGCUAACCUGUAAAAGUUCAUCUCUUUUCCUGCUUUGCUGCAUUCAUAAUUCGAGUCAUAUCAGUAUGAUAAAAACAAUUCCUACUGCAGGGUCUGUUAGCUGUGUGACUAAAUGAUUCCUUACAUCCUUUGGAAGAGUCAGUUCUAGCUGUACGACUACUUUGGUUUGAUACCUGCUGGAUGCACUUGGAACUUUUAGUUCAAUUGCAGCUCUGGACAUUGAAUUUUCCUCUAAUGAUUAGCCUUUGGUUUAGGUUUUGAUAGAGAGCUCUUUAUAACCUGAAAUUUCUUGAAGUUCGAAUAUCGCUGUCUCAAAAACUAUAUAUUUUUCUCUGUUUAUCUGCAAACUUACCAUUACAUGCUACAUAUUCAACUAUCCGUUCUUAUUCCCUUCUACUGCAUUCUUACUUUGUCUUGGCUAAUUAGGUGACCCUUUGUGAGGAGUUGAAAGCAGUAAAGGAUGUGAAGUCAAAACCAACAAAUGCUGCGAACAAGGAACCAUCCAAAGACGCGGAGUCUUGAUUGUAAUCAUAGUUUUUUGCCAAGUCUAAUCAUAUGUAAUAUGUAUAUAUGCAUCUGCUUGGUUAGCAUAUUGUGAAAUCUGGCUUUAGAACAUGUAAAAUAAUGUGUGGUUGUAUAUGCAAUUUUGAAAUCUGGCUAAAGUAUCAGAUUUUGGAUCAUGUAAAACAAUGUCUAAUGUAUAUGUAUAACACAUUUAUAUAAUGUGCCUAAUGUUUGUAAAUUCAA